GGUGUCCAUAAUUUCGGACAAGGAUACGAGAUUAACUAUCACCAAACAAACAGGUAUUUUAGGUCAGACUUAGUCUAGCAUCUUCCCCCUUAUAAACCCCCAAUUCCCAACUCCACAGGCCAAUAAACCCUAACCCUAAUUAGCUUCUUCUUCGCCAUUUCUUACAUUUUUCUUUCCACGAUUUCGUAGUUUAUUUGGGGAUUCCCUUCACCAUUGAUAGAUAGAGCAUCGGUGAUGAGUCUCACAUAAUUGUUAUCCUUGCACUUUGAUUGUCAGUGAAGAAACUCAUGGGGAAUUUUUUCUCUGAGAUCUGGUGGUGUCAAGUUGAAGUGGUGGGAUGAGUAUGUGGUUCCAACCCUAGUUUGGAUUAUGGUUGAUAACUAAGAGUGAGCUAGUGGAUUGAAGGUCCUAUUGUGAGUGACUGUGUUAGGGAGAGCAAGUGUUCCAUUGAAGGUCCUGCUGUUCCAUAGUAAGGUGGAGAUAGUUGAAUUCAGAAUAUCAUGGAUUCAAUUAGUCUUAAUUGGACUGAUAUAGCAGUUGGGCAAUAUGGCUUUGAGAUAGCUACAAGCCAUGAUGUUAAUUUUACUUAGUCUUAAUGGGAAAGGCUGAUGAACACUCCCCAUUAUUAUGGAGAACAAGUUAUAGAAAACAUGGUAUUUUCUAGUGUGCUUUCCAAAAGUAUGGUUAGUUUUUUUUUUUUUUUUUAUAAUUAUAUAUAUCUAUUAUUAUACAUAGAAGAAAUAAUAAAUAAAAAAUUUAUGGGUGUUAUAAAAUGACAACAUCUAUCUUUUAUUUAUUUAUUUUUAGUUCUUUUAUAUAUAGUAUAGUUAUAUAUAAUUAUGAAAAAUAUAUUAGAAAAAAUGUUAAAAUAAAAAUCAUACUUUUACUAAUAUGUUUGAAUUUAAUCGUUUGUUAAUUUAA